rnacentral:lncRNA from 1 species
CCAAUUUUUAGCUCACCUGUCCCGAAGGGACAAGUGAGCUUAUGCCAUCACUUGGCGUCCGUCGUCUGUCGUCGUCGUAAACUAUUUCAAGAAUCUUCUCCUCUGAAACUACUGGGCCAAAUACUUUCAAACUUUAACUGAAUGUUCCUUAGGGUAUCUAAUUUAUAAAUUGUAUCCGAAGUUUUGAUCUAUCAACAAACGUGGUCGCC